rnacentral:rRNA from 1 species
GCUCCAAUAGCGUAUAUUUAAGUUGUUGCAGUUAAAAAGCUCGUAGUUGGACUUUGGGUUGGGUCGACCGGUCCGCCUCUGGUGUGCAUCGGUCGUCUCGUCCUUCUGCUGGCGAUGCGCUCCUGGCCUUAACUGGCCGGGUCGUUCCUCCAGCACUGUUACUUUGAAGAAAUUAGAGUGCUCAAAGCAAGCCUACGCUC